rnacentral:rRNA from 1 species
GACGAACGCUGGCGGCGUGCUUAACACAUGCAAGUCGUACGGUAAGGCCCUUUCGGGGGUACACGAGUGGCGAACGGGUGAGUAACACGUGAGUAACCUGCCCACAACUUUGGGAUAACGCUAGGAAACUGGUGCUAAUACUGGAUAUGUGCUCCUGCUGCAUGGUGGGGGUUGGAAAGCUCCGGCGGUUGUGGAUGGACUCGCGGCCUAUCAGCUUGUUGGUGGGGUAGUGGCCUACCAAGGCGGCGACGGGUAGCCGGCCUGAGAGGGUGACCGGCCACAUUGGGACUGAGAUACGGCCCAGACUCCUACGGGAGGCAGCAGUGGGGAAUCUUGCACAAUGGGCGCCAGCCUGAUGCAGCAACGCCGCGUGCGGGAUGACGGCCUUCGGGUUGUAAACCGCGUUCAGCAGGGACGAAGCUUUUUGUGACGGUACCUGCAGAAGAAGCACCGGCUAACUACGUG